AAAAAACAUUGAGUGCAUUUGUCCUCAGAGUUUUUACAGAAUACACAUCGCUAUCACCAUCACUGUUUUUAUUUUUUCAAGAUGGCCGUUCCGUUUCGUCUUUCGUGAACGUUCUGUGAUUUCGGCGAUUUACGUGAUUUACGAACAGCACUGCCCAAUUGAUGCCUCCCCUUGGGCCAUACAUGCCAACGUUCUUGGAUCUAUCAGUUGACAAGCUCCACGGAAAAGCAGCAUUCAAAAACAGUUUUCUGUUGCCGGCAUGCAAGCAGGUAAGGGUGGAUAAUGUUCUUAGCGCCACAGCGUCAAUGCCUCCACGGUCAGCAAAAACACAUUUUUUGAAUGCUCUUUUUGCGUUAAGUAUUGUGCAGACCUUAUGUUUACUAUAAGAACCACAAUAAAACCACUUUCCUCCGCAGGUAAUGUGCAUUCAACGUUCUACCGGAUCUGUCCAUAGGACGAGCUGAUAGUGUAGCAGAUGCCAUUGAGCGGAUGUGCCGCAAAAGGGUGUCGGGCAUUUUCCAAGUGUGUGAACUGACCUAGAUCUAAGAACAUUUGUACACACAUUGCUACCAUUGCCAAGCAGGUCCAGAUAUUGUUGGAGAUCUGCUGUUUGCUGAGGAAUGUGUUCACAACAUUCACACUUUCAUCAAUGCAAGCACAUCUUUUUUUCAGUAAUAUUGAGGAACAUUUCAGCAAUCAAGGAAGUUGACACCGAAAUGUUAAAAGCAAUAAAGAAAUUAAAGCG
rnacentral:lncRNA from 1 species